CCAAUGCCAGGUGCCCCAGAGGGAAUGAACAGAAAAGAGAUGUUUGUGAAGUUACAAACUGCUGUGAGGAGACCUUUCUAAAGCUGACUCUAUGGAUCAGUGUUUUCAGUUACUGGCUCCACUUCUGCUGACACAAAUAAAGCAGCUGCUAGAGGCUCCAGCUGAGACUGUGGCCCCACUAUGCCAGGCACUGUACAAACACACCAUGGGAAACAGUCUCUGCCCUGACGAACUUGCAGUCUAAACAGACAAAGGAUGGGAAGGAAGCAAAGGCAAAAAUAACUUGCCCUAGGUCACAUAUCAGGACAAUGACGGAGCCAGUAAUGGAACCUAGAUCUCCUGAUUCCCAGGCCUGUAACCUAUCCAGCUGGACCAUGCUGCUUCUUGUGAAUAUGCUAAUCAAAUAUACUCCUGAGUAGGAACCUUCCUGCUUGCACCAACGAUCUUUAAAUGAUGAUUGUUAAAGUAACAUUAGGAAAGAGCUCUUUCCUGUACAUUUAACAAAAAAUAAAAAAUUCUCCCCACAGUUCACUCUCUCCUAUUUAAUUUUUUUCUCUAAAAUCAUCUGCAGUUAAACAAAUAAAGCAGAUGUCUAGUCUCCUGGAAAAAAUUAUGCUUUGAAGCCAUGACACUAGCCUCACUUCUCAUGUCACUUAUGAUGUGGACUAAGCCUG